UACCUUCUCCAGCUACAGCCCAGAGGUCAGCAUCCAUGUGCAUGGAGAUAUCCCAGGCCACACACGAGAGCCUCCCACAUUUCAAGAGCACUGGUUAAAGAUGCUGAAAUCAUGGAAUGGUACAGAAAGAAUUGUACAAGUUGGUAAUUAUGUUUGAUUGCUAAUACCUGUAGAAGGAAUACAUCAAUGAGCCAGGGCACACAAGGAUGCUCAUUCCUGGAAGAGGUGCUGAAGAGAAUACUGUGGACCUACAGAGGAAAGCACACACUUCUCCUUUCAUAAGAGAAUUAUACAUAAGGGAAUGAGAACAUACUUGGUGAUCAUGAAAGCCAAGAGCACCUUAAAGUUAAGAGUCCAGUGUA